UCAGUGGCGGACGGNUGAGUAACGCGUGAGUAACCUGCCUUUCAGAGGGGGAUAACGUUCUGAAAAGAACGCUAAUACCGCAUAAGAUUGUAGUUUCGCAUGGAGCAGCAAUCAAAGGAGCAAUCCGCUGAAAGAUGGACUCGCGUCCGAUUAGAUAGUUGGCGGGGUAACGGCCCACCAAGUCGACGAUCGGUAGCCGGACUGAGAGGUUGAUCGGCCACAUUGGGACUGAGACACGGCCCAGACUCCUACGGGAGGCAGCAGUGAGGGAUAUUGGGCAAUGGGGGAAACCCUGACCCAGCAACGCCGCGUGAGGGAUGACGGUUUUCGGAUUGUAGACCUCUGUCCUCUGUGAAGAUAGUGACGGUAGCAGAGGAGGAAGCUCCGGCUAACUACGUGCCAGCAGCCGCGGUAAUACGUAGGGAGCAAGCGUUGUCCGGAUUUACUGGGUGUAAAGGGUGCGUAGGCGGAUUGGCAAGUCAGAAGUGAAAUCCAUGGGCUUAACCCAUGAACUGCUUUUGAAACUGUUAGUCUUGAGUGAAGUAGAGGUAGGCGGAAUUCCCGGUGUAGCGGUGAAAUGCGUAGAGAUCGGGAGGAACACCAGUGGCGAAGGCGGCCUACUGGGCUUUAACUGACGCUGAGGCACGAAAGUGUGGGUAGCAAACAGGAUUAGAUACCCUGGUAGUCCACACUGUAAACGAUGAUUACUAGGUGU
rnacentral:rRNA from 1 species